AGUGAACGCUGGCGGUAGGCCUAACACAUGCAAGUCGAACGGCAGCACAGUAAGAGCUUGCUCUUACGGGUGGCGAGUGGCGGACGGGUGAGGAAUACAUCGGAAUCUACUUUUUCGUGGGGGAUCACGUAGGGAAACUUACGCUCAUACCGCAUACGACCUACGGGUGAAAGCAGGGGAUCUUCGGACCUUGCGCGAUUGAAUGAGCCGAUGUCGGAUUAGCUAGUUGGCGGGGUAAAGGCCCACCCAGGCGACGAUCCGUAGCUGGUCUGAGAGGAUGAUCAGCCACACUGGAACUGAGACACGGUCCAGACUCCUACGGGAGGCAGCAGUGGGGAAUAUUGGACAAUGGGCGCAAGCCUGAUCCAGCCAUACCGCGUGGGUGAAGAAGGCCUUCGGGUUGUAAAGCCCUUUUGUUGGGAAAGAAAAGCAGCAGGUUAAUACCCCGCUGUUCUGACGGUACCCAAAGAAUAAGCACCGGCUAACUUCGUG
rnacentral:rRNA from 1 species